GACGAACGCUGGCGGCGUGCUUAACACAUGCAAGUCGAGCGGUAAGGCCCUUUCGGGGUACGACGAGCGGCGAACGGGUGAGUAACACGUGGGUGACCUGCCCUCCAGCUCUGGGAGUAAAGCCUGGGAAACCGGGUCGUAAUACCGGAUAUGACUCCAUGACGCAUGUUGUGGGGUGGAAAGCCUUGUGCGGCUGAGGAUGGGCCCGCGGCCUAUCAGCUUGUUGGUGGGGUGGAUGGCCUACCAAGGCGACGAC
rnacentral:rRNA from 1 species